GGAAAACAUCUGAUAAAGUGAAAUGCUUCUGAAAAUUAAAACCUUCUAGCGCAUCCUGCAAGACCGGUGUCCCCAAAGAUUCAGUUUUACUGAGACCCACAUCAUGAAAUUGCAAAUACUCCUUAAAUUUGGUCAAUUCCAUCUCCUUAGUCAUUAUUCUCUCAGACGCCUCCUGUUCCACAGCACUUACCAUUCCCUUAAUAACUGAGUCACUCACCAUCCUUGAAACCGUUAAGCGUUCGUUUAUAUCUUCCCAAUACAACUCAAAGUCCUCUAAAAUCUCAUCACUCAAUUUCUCAAUUCUUUUGCCACCAUUCAGUGUUCUCUCAGACCCACCAUUCAUUGUUCCCACAUUAGCAUUAUCACAACAUGAAGUUAUAC
rnacentral:misc_RNA from 1 species